rnacentral:rRNA from 1 species
UACGUAGGGCGCAAGCGUUGUCCGGAAUUAUUGGGCGUAAAGAGCUCGUAGGCGGUCUGUCGCGUCGGCUGUGAAAACCCGAGGCUCAACCUCGGGCCUGCAGUCGAUACGGGCAGACUAGAGUGCUGUAGGGGAGACUGGAAUUCCUGGUGUAGCGGUGAAAUGCGCAGAUAUCAGGAGGAACACCGAUGGCGAAGGCAGCUCGCUGGGACGUGACUGACGCUGAGACGCGAAAGCGUGGGGAGCAAACAGG